AUUGAACGCUGGCGGCAUGCCUUACACAUGCAAGUCGAACGGCAGCACGGUUGCUUGCUGCUGUUGGCGAGUGGCGAACGGGUGCGUAAUACAUCUGCACCUGUCCUGUCUUUUUCGUUAGCCCGGCCAAAGCCGGAUUUAUACCACUUCCGCACUACGCAUGCAAGCGGGGGCCCUUCAUCUUCCGCCCUUUCGCGUUUGCCUGUGCCGAUGUCGGAUUAGCUAGUUGGCGGGGUAAAGGCCUACCAAGGCGACGAUCAGUAGCUGGUCUGAGAGGACGAUCAGCCACACUGGGACUGAGACACGGCCCAGACUCCUACGGGAGGCAGCAGUGGGGAAUUUUGGACAAUGGGCGAAAGCCUGAUCCAGCAAUGCCGCGUGUGUGAAGAAGGCCUUCGGGUUGUAAAGCACUUUUGUCCGGAAAGAAAAGCUGGGCCCUAAUACGGUCGGGGGAUGACGGUACCGGAAGAAUAAGCACCGGCUAACUACGUG
rnacentral:rRNA from 1 species